rnacentral:rRNA from 1 species
GACGAACGCUGGCGGCGUGCUUAACACAUGCAAGUCGAACGAAGAGCGAUGGAAGCUUGCUUCUAUCAAUCUUAGUGGCGAACGGGUGAGUAACGCGUAAUCAACCUGCCCUUCAGAGGGGGACAACAGUUGGAAACGACUGCUAAUACCGCAUACGAUCUAAUCUCGGCAUCGAGGAAAGAUGAAAGGUGGCCUCUAUUUAUAAGCUAUCACUGAAGGAGGGGAUUGCGUCUGAUUAGCUAGUUGGAGGGGUAACGGCCCACCAAGGCGAUGAUCAGUAGCCGGUCUGAGAGGAUGAACGGCCACAUUGGGACUGAGACACGGCCCAGACUCCUACGGGAGGCAGCAGUGGGGAAUCUUCCGCAAUGGACGAAAGUCUGACGGAGCAACGCCGCGUGGGUGAUGACGGCCUUCGGGUUGUAAAGCUCUGUUAAUCGGGACGAAAGGCCUUCUUGCGAACAGUUAGAAGGAUUGACGGUACCGGAAUAGAAAGCCACGGCUAACUACGUG